UACAGAGACUGCAAGCGUUAUUCGGAUUCACUGGGCGUAAAGGGUGCGCAGGCGGCCAAGUGUGUGAGGCGUGAAAGCCUGGGGCUUAACCCCAGAAUUGCACCUCAAACUACUUGGCUAGAGCAUUGGAGAGGGUAGCAGAAUUCAUGGUGUAGCAGUGAAAUGCGUAGAUAUCAUGAGGAAUACCAGAGGCGAAGGCGGCUACCUGGACAAUUGCUGACGCUCAGGCACGAAAACGUGGGGAGCAAAAGGG
rnacentral:rRNA from 1 species